rnacentral:rRNA from 1 species
AUAGCGUAUAUUAAAGUUGUUGCAGUUAAAGCGUCCGUAGUUUGAUUUCGUUCUUUCGAGUUAGAUGCAGAUGUACUUUUGUAUUUUCUUGCGCUUACUCUUUUGAACUUGGGAAGAGCUUGGGCAACCUUGUUCUUCCCCGUUACUUUGAGCAAAUUGGAGUGCUCCAACCAGGCUUUAGCUUGAACAGCUCAGCAUGGAAUAACAAGAUAGGACUUUGGUUCUUCUUGUUGGUGUCAUGAACCAAAAGUAAUGGUUGAUAAGGACAUACGGGGGCAUUUGUACUUGCUGGAGAGAGGUGAAAUUCUAAGACCCAGCAAAGACAAACAAGUG